rnacentral:rRNA from 1 species
UACGGAAGGCAGCAGGGGAAUAUUGCACAAUGGGCGAAAGCCUGAUGCAGCUAUGCCGCGUGUAUGAAGAAGGCCUUAGGGUUGUAAAGUACUUUCAUCGGGGAGGAAAAAACAAAACUAAUAAUUUUAUUUCUUGACGUUACCCGAAAAAGAAGCACCGGCUAACUCCGUGCCAGCAGCCGCGGUAAUACGGAGGGUGCUAGCGUUAAUCAGAAUUACUGGGCGUAAAGAGCACGUAGGUGGUUUUUUUAAGUCAGAUGUGAAAUCCCUGGGCUUAACCUAGGAACUGCAUUUUGAAACUGAAAUACUAGAGUAUCGUAGAGGGAGGUAGAAUUCUAGGUGUAGCGGUGAAAUGCGUAGAUAUCUGGAGGAAUACCUGUGGCGAAAGCGGCCUCCUAAACGAAUACUGACACUGAGGGUGCGAAAGCGUGGGGAGCAAACAGGGAUUAGAUACC